UGGGGAAUAUUGGACAAUGGGGGCAACCCUGAUCCAGCAAUGCCGCGUGUGUGAAGAAGGUCUUCGGAUUGUAAAGCACUUUCGACGGGGACGAUGAUGACGGUACCCGUAGAAGAAGCCCCGGCUAACUUCGUGCCAGCAGCCGCGGUAAUACGAAGGGGGCUAGCGUUGCUCGGAAUGACUGGGCGUAAAGGGCGUGUAGGCGGUUUACACAGUCAGAUGUGAAAUCCCCGGGCUUAACCUGGGAGCUGCAUUUGAUACGUGUAGACUAGAGUGUGAGAGAGGGUUGUGGAAUUCCCAGUGU
rnacentral:rRNA from 1 species